rnacentral:rRNA from 1 species
UACGAAGGGUGCAAGCGUUACUCGGAAUUACUGGGCGUAAAGCGUGCGUAGGUGGUUUGUUAAGUCUGUUGUGAAAGCCCCGGGCUCAACCUGGGAAUGGCAAUGGAUACUGGCAAGCUAGAGUGCGGUAGAGGGUAGUGGAAUUCCCGGUGUAGCGGUGAAAUGCGUAGAGAUCGGGAGGAACACCAGUGGCGAAGGCGGCUACCUGGACCAGCCACUGACCACUGAGGCACGAAAGCGUGGGGAGCAACAGG